rnacentral:rRNA from 1 species
UAGAGUUUGAUCCUGGCUCAGAUUGAACGCUGGCGGCAGGCCUAACACAUGCAAGUCGAGCGGAUGAGGGGAGCUUGCUCCCUGAUUUAGCGGCGGACGGGUGAGUAAUGCCUAGGAAUCUGCCUGGUAGUGGGGGAUAACGUUCCGAAAGGAACGCUAAUACCGCAUACGUCCUACGGGAGAAAGCAGGGGACCUUCGGGCCUUGCGCUAUCAGAUGAGCCUAGGUCGGAUUAGCUAGUUGGUGAGGUAAUGGCUCACCAAGGCGACGAUCCGUAACUGGUCUGAGAGGAUGAUCAGUCACACUGGAACUGAGACACGGUCCAGACUCCUACGGGAGGCAGCAGUGGGGAAUAUUGGACAAUGGGCGAAAGCCUGAUCCAGCCAUGCCGCGUGUGUGAAGAAGAUCUUCGGAUUGUAAAGCACUUUAAGUUGGGAGGAAGGGCAUUAACCUAAUACGUUAGUGUUUUGACGUUACCAACAGAAUAAGCACCGGCUAACUUCGUGCCAGCAGCCGCGGUAAUACGAAGGGUGCAAGCGUUAAUCGGAAUUACUGGGCGUAAAGCGCGCGUAGGUGGUUCGUUAAGUUGGAUGUGAAAGCCCCGGGCUCAACCUGGGAACUGCAUCCAAAACUGGCGAGCUAGAGUACGGUAGAGGGUGGUGGAAUUUCCUGUGUAGCGGUGAAAUGCGUAGAUAUAGGAAGGAACACCAGUGGCGAAGGCGACCACCUGGACUGAUACUGACACUGAGGU